rnacentral:rRNA from 1 species
GAGUGAACGCUGGCGGUAGGCCUAACACAUGCAAGUCGAACGGCAGCACAGUAAUAGCUUGCUCUUACGGGUGGCGAGUGGCGGACGGGUGAGGAAUACAUCGGAAUCUACUUUUUCGUGGGGGAUAACGUAGGGAAACUUACGCUAAUACCGCAUACGACCUACGGGUGAAAGCAGGGGAUCUUCGGUCCUUGCGCGAUUGAAUGAGCCGAUGUCGGAUUAGCUAGUUGGCGGGGUAAAGGCCCACCAAGGCGACGAUCCGUAGCUGGUCUGAGAGGAUGAUCAGCCACACUGGAACUGAGACACGGUCCAGACUCCUACGGGAGGCAGCAGUGGGGAAUAUUGGACAAUGGGCGCAAGCCUGAUCCAGCCAUACCGCGUGGGUGAAGAAGGCCUUCGGGUUGUAAAGCCCUUUUGUUGGGAAAGAAAAGCAGCAGGUUAAUACCCCGCUGUUCUGACGGUACCCAAAGAAUAAGCACCGGCUAACUUCGUG